AACGAACGCUGGCGGCAUGCCUAACACAUGCAAGUCGAACGAGAAAGUACUUUCGGGUACGAGUAGAGUGGCGAACGGGUGAGUAACGCGUAGAUAACCUACCCCCCAGUCUGGGAUAACCCUCCGAAAGGAGGGCUAAUACCGGAUAAAACAUUUCAUCGAGUGUUGAGAUGUUGAAAGCUCCGACGCUGGAGGAGGGGUCUGCGUCCCAUUAGCUAGUUGGUAAGGUAACGGCUUACCAAGGCUCCGAUGGGUAGCGGGUCUGAGAGGAUGAUCCGCCACACUGGCACUGAAACACGGGCCAG
rnacentral:rRNA from 1 species